AUGGUUUUAGGAGUAAAAACACCCCUUACUGUACAUCACUGUAACAUACUCAGUGGCUUUUUGCUUUACAAAACCCCCUCCAUGUUAAUUCAGCACCAGGCAAACGGCCAACAGACGAACAUGUUUGGUGAAAAGAUCCAGGAAGAACGGAUUCACGCCAGAUCCUUCCUCAAAACGGCUUUGUGGUUUCUGAAAAUGAACCGUUUUUCCCGUCUUUCAACGUUUAAUUAUCAGAGAUUCGCUCAAACGAACGGAGGGAAAAAACGCGACAGGAGUCCUGACAGAUCGGCUGUUGGCUUCAUUAGGAUCUAUCAUGGGUGUUUUGCUAUUUUGAUAAGUCCUACCACAGCCAUACAUCAACGUGUUCAUGUUCCUGCGGGCUCUGGAUCGUGUUGUGGUUGGAAAUGUGAUUUAUGAUUUCAACCUUUGUUCUGGGUUUGCAAAAACCAUCCGAAACGGGUCCCACAGACUCGAAACGCCACCACUCGAGUCCCUUGAGGACCAUAAAACCAAUCGAAUGACUAGAGACGGACAGUUUAGGAGAUUCUGAGGGACAUCCAGGUCUUCUUCUUCGCCCUGUUCACUUCCUAGACAGAAACAGGAAACGCAAGUUCUUCCUCUCGGACGGCGCUUCCCACAAUGCAUAGCGUGAGUUCUGGUGGUGAGCGGGUCACUGGCUGUCGUCCAUGCUGACGCCCAGCCGCUUCAUGACGGUGACGCGAGAGCUGUACUGGCUGGGUUUCUGCAGCAGCUCUGGUUUGGGCUGGAAAUGCUCCGUCAGGAUCUUCAGGACGUUCUCCAACUUCACAUCCAUCUGAAGCACCUACAAACAAAGAGACAUUGGUCUGAGAAAUUAAGCUGUUUUGCUGGAUUUUGUGUGGUGGGCUGUUGCGGGCUACUGACUAAAAAGGCUGUGCGAGGGGUUAAUCCACGAACAAUCACCAUUGUGCUCCAGUAAUGCACUUAACCUCAGAUUAUUUAACCCUUGGAGAAAGACAAUCAGGCCUAUCAAAAAUCAAGUCCACUCAGAGAUGUGUGGUAAGAUUAUUUCUAACAAAACGUUAUUGUUUACACUAAAGGCA
rnacentral:lncRNA from 12 species